rnacentral:rRNA from 1 species
AUUGAACGCUGGCGGCAGGCCUAACACAUGCAAGUCGAGCGGAUGAGUGGAGCUUGCUCCAUGAUUCAGCGGCGGACGGGUGAGUAAUGCCUAGGAAUCUGCCUGGUAGUGGGGGACAACGUUUCGAAAGGAACGCUAAUACCGCAUACGUCCUACGGGAGAAAGCAGGGGACCUUCGGGCCUUGCGCUAUCAGAUGAGCCUAGGUCGGACUAGCUAGUAGGUGAGGUAAUGGCUCACCUAGGCGACGAUCCGUAACUGGUCUGAGAGGAUGAUCAGUCACACUGGAACUGAGACACGGUCCAGACUCCUACGGGAGGCAGCAGUGGGAAUAUUGGACAAUGGGCGAAAGCCUGAUCCAGCCAUGCCGCGUGUGUGAAGAAGGUCUUCGGAUUGUAAAGCACUUUAAGUUGGGAGGAAGGGCAGUAAGUUAAUACCUUGCUGUUUUGACGUUACCAACAGAAUAAG